rnacentral:rRNA from 1 species
CAAGGCGCGUGCUACCAUGCAAGUCGAACGAGAACGGUUCUUUCGGGAAUCUAGUAAAGUGGCGAACGGGUGAGUAACGCGUGGAUGAUCUGCCCUGAAGCGGGGGAUAACUCGGGGAAACCCGGGCUAAUACCGCAUAAUCCCUACGGGGGAAAGGUUUUCGAAUCGCUUUGGGAGGAGUCCGCGUCCGAUUAGCUGGUUGGUGAGGUAAGAGCUCACCAAGGCGACGAUUGGUAGCCGGUCUGAGAGGACGGACGGCCACACUGGAACUGAGACACGGUCCAGACUCCUACGGGAGGCAGCAGUGGGGAAUUUUGGGCAAUGGGGGCAACCCUGACCCAGCAACGCCGCGUGGAGGAAGAAGGUUUUCGGAUCGUAAACUCCUGUCCCGAGGGACGAAGCAAGUGACGGUACCUCGGGAGGAAGCCCCGGCUAACUCCGUGCCAGCAGCCGCGGUAAUACGGGGGGGGCAAGCGUUGUUCGGAAUUACUGGGCGUAAAGGGCGCGCAGGCGGUUUCGUCAGUCAUGGGUGAAAGCCCCGGGCUCAACCCGGGAAGGGCCUGUGAAACCACGGAACUGGAGUGCUGGAGAGGGAAGCGGAAUUCCCAGUGUAGCGGUGAAAUGCGUAGAUAUUGGGAGGAACAUCGGUGGCGAAGGCGGCUUCCUGGACAGACACUGACGCUGAGGCGCGAAAGCCAGGGGAGCGAACGGGAUUAGAUACCCCGGUAGUCCUGGCUGUAAACGAUGAAUACUUGGUGUAGGGGGUAGGAAAGUCCCUCUGUGCCGCAGAGAACUCGAUAAGUAUUCCGCCUGGGGAGUACGGCCGCAAGGCUGAAACUCAAAGGAAUUGACGGGGGCCCGCACAAGCGGUGGAGCAUGUGGUUUAAUUCGACGCAACGCGAAGAACCUUACCGGGGUUUGAACUCGGCCGGCGACCUCUGGAGACAGGGGGUUCCUUUCGGGACAGGUCGAGAGGUGCUGCAUGGCUGUCGUCAGCUCGUGUCGUGAGAUGUUGGAUCAGUCCCGCAACGAGCGCAUCCCUUGUCUGUAGUUGCCAUCAAGUAAGCUUGGGCCACUCUAC